GGUCCCGCUCAGUUGGUAGAGCAUGGUGUUUGCAACGCCAGGGUUGUGGGUUCGAUUCCCACGGGGGACCA
rnacentral:tRNA from 1 species